UACGUAGGGAGCAAGCGUUGUUCGGAUUUACUGGGCGUAAAGGGCGCGUAGGCGGCGCGGUAAGUCGGGUGUGAAAUCUCGGGGCUUAACUCCGAAACUGCAUUCGAUACUGCCGUGCUUGAGGACUGGAGAGGAGACUGGAAUUUACGGUGUAGCGGUGAAAUGCGCAGAUAUCAGGAGGAACACCGGUGGCGAAGGCGGGUCUCUGGGCCGAUACUGACGCUGAGGAGCGAAAGCGUGGGGAGCGAACAGG
rnacentral:rRNA from 1 species